rnacentral:rRNA from 1 species
AACCUGGCUGGGUGGUCGUGCCAAUGGUAUGCACUGGCCUUGCUGAUUCCUCCCUCUUGAUGAGCCGUAAUGUCAUUAAUUUGGUGUUGUGGGGAAUCAGGACUGUUACUUUGAAAAAUUAGAGUGUUUAAAGCAGGCAAGCGCUUGAAUACAUUAGCAUGGAAUAAUGAAAUAGGACGUUUAAUCCUAUUUUGUUGGUUUCUAGGAUUGACGUAAUGAU